rnacentral:rRNA from 1 species
GGCCGCAUGCCAUAGGAUGAGCCCAAGUGGGAUUAGGUAGUUGGUGGGGUAAAUGCCUACCAAGCCUGCGAUCUCUAGCUGGUCUGAGAGGAUGACCAGCCACACUGGAACUGAGACACGGUCCAGACUCCUACGGGAGGCAGCAGUGGGGAAUAUUGCGCAAUGGGGGGAACCCUGACGCAGCCAUGCCGCGUGAAUGAAGAAGGCCUUCGGGUUGUAAAGUUCUUUCGGUAUUGAGGAAGGUUGAUGUGUUAAUAGCACAUCAAAUUGACGUUAAAUACAGAAGAAGCACCGGCUAACUCCGUGCCAGCAGCCGCGGUAAUACGGAGGGUGCGAGCGUUAAUCGGAAUAACUGGGCGUAAAGGGCACGCAGGCGGUUAUUUAAGUGAGGUGUGAAAGCCCUGGGCUUAACCUAGGAAUUGCAUUUCAGACUGGGUAACUAGAGUACUUUAGGGAGGGGUAGAAUUCCACGUGUAGCGGUGAAAUGCGUAGAGAUGUGGAGGAAUACCGAAGGCGAAGGCAGCCCCUUGGGAAUGUACUGACGCUCAUGUGCGAAAGCGUGGGGAGCAAACAGGAUUAGAUACCCU